UACGGAGGAUGCGAGCGUUAUCCGGAUUUAUUGGGUUUAAAGGGUGCGUAGGCGGAUUUUUAAGUCAGCGGUAAAAUGUCCGGGCUCAACCCGGGCCGGCCGUUGAAACUGGGGAUCUUGAGUGGGCGAGAAGUAUGCGGAAUGCGUGGUGUAGCAGUGAAAUGCAUAGAUAUCACGCAGAACUCCGAUUGCGAAGGCAGCAUACCGGCGCCCGACUGACGCUGAGGCACGAAAGCGUGGGGAUCGAACAGG
rnacentral:rRNA from 1 species